AGGAAAAUAAAAUAAUAAAACAAAGUAAUGAAACCACACGAUUAUGAAAUAUCAAAGAUUUCCUUGUUUAAUCUCCUUCUCUCUUCUCUCUGCCUCUCUAAAUCUCUCUCAUCUCAAGUAGAUCACAUAAUCAUACAAAAAUUAGAAAUAUUAUUAGCCGAUUCAAAAUCGACACCUAAACUCGUUCCUCACACAAGCAAAAAUAUGAUAUGGACAAUAUUAUCUGAAAUGAUAUCAAACAACAACAGUAUCGAAGCAAAAGACAGGAAGAAAUGAAAACCACCUUAAAUUGACGACGAUAGCUCCGACGGGAUAUCGAUCACGGAUAUUCCCCUCCCUCAUUUUGUUCGUUUUGUUUUUGAACUUCUUCUGCUAUCGCUGUGUUGAAUUGAGGACACAAUUUUGUCCCUAAAAGAGACAAAGUGGCAGCUGUAAUGCUUAAGAUAAAGUGCAUAAAAAAAACUGCAAUGCUCGGAGGGGUCCUAACAAUGAUACUAUUUUUUUUUGUUACUGAAACAUAUUGAACUUCUAUGUAACAUAGAAAAUUACUUAUAUGAUUUUUUCUAAAUCCCAUUUUUGCUUUGUUUUGUCUUAUGAUGUAGAAGUGAAAUAAAAUGAAAUGAAACUUUUAUAUAU